GAUUAAGUUAUUAAGGGCGCACGGUGGAUGCCUUGGCACUAGAAGCCGAUGAAGGACGUUACUAACGACGAUAUGCUUUGGGGAGCUGUAAGUAAGCUUUGAUCCAGAGAUUUCCGAAUGGGGAAACCCAGCAUGAGUUAUGUCAUGUUAUCGAUAUGUGAAUACAUAGCAUAUCAGAAGGCACACCCGGAGAACUGAAACAUCUUAGUACCCGGAGGAAGAGAAAGAAAAUUCGAUUCCCUUAGUAGCGGCGAGCGAAACGGGAAGAGCCCAAACCAACAAGCUUGCUUGUUGGGGUUGUAGGACACUCUAUACGGAGUUACAAAGGACGACAUUAGACGAAUCAUCUGGAAAGAUGAAUCAAAGAAGGUAAUAAUCCUGUAGUCGAAAAUGUUGUCUCUCUUGAGUGGAUCCUGAGUACGACGGAGCACGUGAAAUUCCGUCGGAAUCUGGGAGGACCAUCUCCUAAGGCUAAAUACUCUCUAGUGACCGAUAGUGAACCAGUACCGUGAGGGAAAGGUGAAAAGCACCCCGGAAGGGGAGUGAAAUAGAACCUGAAACCGUGUGCUUACAAGUAGUCAGAGCCCGUUAAUGGGUGAUGGCGUGCCUUUUGUAGAAUGAACCGGCGAGUUACGAUUUGAUGCAAGGUUAAGCAGUAAAUGUGGAGCCGUAGCGAAAGCGAGUCUGAAUAGGGCGUUUAGUAUUUGGUCGUAGACCCGAAACCAGGUGAUCUACCCUUGGUCAGGUUGAAGUUCAGGUAACACUGAAUGGAGGACCGAACCGACUUACGUUGAAAAGUGAGCGGAUGAACUGAGGGUAGCGGAGAAAUUCCAAUCGAACCUGGAGAUAGCUGGUUCUCUCCGAAAUAGCUUUAGGGCUAGCCUCAAGUGAUGAUUAUUGGAGGUAGAGCACUGUUUGGACGAGGGGCCCCUCUCGGGUUACCGAAUUCAGACAAACUCCGAAUGCCAAUUAAUUAAUAACUUGGGAGUCAGAACAUGGGUGAUAAGGUCCGUGUUCGAAAGGGAAACAGCCCAGACCACCAGCUAAGGUCCCAAAAUAUAUGUUAAGUGGAAAAGGAUGUGGCGUUGCCCAGACAACUAGGAUGUUGGCUUAGAAGCAGCCAUCAUUUAAAGAGUGCGUAAUAGCUCACUAGUCGAGUGACACUGCGCCGAAAAUGUACCGGGGCUAAACAUAUUACCGAAGCUGUGGAUUGUCCUUUGGACAAUGGUAGGAGAGCGUUCUAAGGGCGUUGAAGCAUGAUCGUAAGGACAUGUGGAGCGCUUAGAAGUGAGAAUGCCGGUGUGAGUAGCGAAAGACGGGUGAGAAUCCCGUCCACCGAUUGACUAAGGUUUCCAGAGGAAGGCUCGUCCGCUCUGGGUUAGUCGGGUCCUAAGCUGAGGCCGACAGGCGUAGGCGAUGGAUAACAGGUUGAUAUUCCUGUACCACCUAUAAUCGUUUUAAUCGAUGGGGGGACGCAGUAGGAUAGGCGAAGCGUGCGAUUGGAUUGCACGUCUAAGCAGUAAGGCUGAGUAUUAGGCAAAUCCGGUACUCGUUAAGGCUGAGCUGUGAUGGGGAGAAGACAUUGUGUCUUCGAGUCGUUGAUUUCACACUGCCGAGAAAAGCCUCUAGAUAGAAAAUAGGUGCCCGUACCGCAAACCGACACAGGUAGUCAAGAUGAGAAUUCUAAGGUGAGCGAGCGAACUCUCGUUAAGGAACUCGGCAAAAUGACCCCGUAACUUCGGGAGAAGGGGUGCUCUUUAGGGUUAACGCCCAGAAGAGCCGCAGUGAAUAGGCCCAAGCGACUGUUUAUCAAAAACACAGGUCUCUGCUAAACCGUAAGGUGAUGUAUAGGGGCUGACGCCUGCCCGGUGCUGGAAGGUUAAGAGGAGUGGUUAGCUUCUGCGAAGCUACGAAUCGAAGCCCCAGUAAACGGCGGCCGUAACUAUAACGGUCCUAAGGUAGCGAAAUUCCUUGUCGGGUAUUCCGACCCGCACGAAAGGCGUAACGAUUUGGGCACUGUCUCAACGAGAGACUCGGUGAAAUCAUAGUACCUGUGAAGAUGCAGGUUACCCGCGACAGGACGGAAAGACCCCGUGGAGCUUUACUGUAGCCUGAUAUUGAAAUUCGGCACAGCUUGUACAGGAUAGGUAGGAGCCUUUGAAACGUGAGCGCUAGCUUACGUGGAGGCGCUGGUGGGAUACUACCCUAGCUGUGUUGGAUUUCUAACCCGCACCACUUAUCGUGGUGGGAGACAGUGUCAGGCGGGCAGUUUGACUGGGGCGGUCGCCUCCUAAAAGGUAACGGAGGCGCUCAAAGGUUCCCUCAGAAUGGUUGGAAAUCAUUCAUAGAGUGUAAAGGCAUAAGGGAGCUUGACUGCGAGACCUACAAGUCGAGCAGGGUCGAAAGACGGACUUAGUGAUCCGGUGGUUCCGCAUGGAAGGGCCAUCGCUCAACGGAUAAAAGCUACCCCGGGGAUAACAGGCUUAUCUCCCCCAAGAGUUCACAUCGACGGGGAGGUUUGGCACCUCGAUGUCGGCUCAUCGCAUCCUGGGGCUGUAGUCGGUCCCAAGGGUUGGGCUGUUCGCCCAUUAAAGCGGUACGCGAGCUGGGUUCAGAACGUCGUGAGACAGUUCGGUCCCUAUCCGUCGUGGGCGUAGGAAAUUUGAGAGGAGCUGUCCUUAGUACGAGAGGACCGGGAUGGACAUACCUCUGGUGUACCAGUUGUCGUGCCAACGGCAUAGCUGGGUAGCUAUGUGUGGACGGGAUAAGUGCUGAAAGCAUCUAAGCAUGAAGCCCCCCUCAAGAUGAGAUUUCCCAACUUCGGUUAUAAGAUCCCUCAAAGAUGAUGAGGUUAAUAGGUUCGAGGUGGAAGCAUGGUGACAUGUGGAGCUGACGAAUACUAAUCGAUCGAAGACUUAAUCAA
rnacentral:rRNA from 1 species